rfam:Zootermopsis nevadensis contig31044, whole genome shotgun sequence.
GCCACGGUGGUCUAGCGGUUAGAACGCUGGCCUUGUAAUCCUGGGGUCUCGGGUUCGAAUCCCGGCGGUGCCC